AAAGCAUUCUCUGGUGUUGAAGGCCCUGCAAAGCAGCAUCGCGGUGGCGGAGCGUCGUUUGCGACGCCCAACACACAAAACAAGCGGUGAGUGCUUUGGGGUGGGGUGACUGCGUACCUUUUGUAUAAUGGGUCAGCGACUUAUAUUCUGUAGCAAGGUUAACCGUAUAGGGGAGCCGAAGGGAAACCGAGUCUUAACUGGGCGUUAAGUUGCAGGGUAUAGACCCGAAACCCGGUGAUCUAGCCAUGGGCAGGUUGAAGGUUGGGUAACACUAACUGGAGGACCGAACCGACUAAUGUUGAAAAAUUAGCGGAUGACUUGUGGCUGGGGGUGAAAGGCCAAUCAAACCGGGAGAUAGCUGGUUCUCCCCGAAAGCUAUUUAGGUAGCGCCUCGUGAACUCAUCUUCGGGGGUAGAGCACUGUUUCGGCUAGGGGGUCAUCCCGACUUACCAACCCGAUGCAAACUGCGAAUACCGAAGAAUGUUAUCACGGGAGACACACGGCGGGUGCUAACGUCCGUCGUGAAGAGGGAAACAACCCAGACCGCCAGCUAAGGUCCCAAAGUCACAGUUAAGUGGGAAACGAUGUGGGAAGGCUCAGACAGCCAGGAUGUUGGCUUAGAAGCAGCCAUCAUUUAAAGAAAGCGUAAUAGCUCACUGGUCGAGUCGGCCUGCGCGGAAGAUGUAACGGGGCUAAACUGUGCACCGAAGCUGCGGCAGCGACGCUUAUGCGUUGUUGGGUAGGGGAGCGUUCUGUAAGCCUGCGAAGGUGUCCUGUGAGGGAUGCUGGAGGUAUCAGAAGUGCGAAUGCUGACAUAAGUAACGAUAAUGCGGGUGAAAAGCCCGCUCGCCGGAAGACCAAGGGUUCCUGUCCAACGUUAAUCGGGGCAGGGUGAGUCGACCCCUAAGGCGAGGCCGAAAGGCGUAGUCGAUGGGAAACGGGUUAAUAUUCCCGUACUUGGUGUUACUGCGAAGGGGGGACGGAGAAGGCUAUGUUGGCCGGGCGACGGUUGUCCCGGUUUAAGCGUGUAGGCUGGUUUUCCAGGCAAAUCCGGAAAAUCAAGGCUGAGGCGUGAUGACGAGGCACUACGGUGCUGAAGCAACAAAUGCCCUGCUUCCAGGAAAAGCCUCUAAGCAUCAGGUAACAUCAAAUCGUACCCCAAACCGACACAGGUGGUCAGGUAGAGAAUACCAAGGCGCUUGAGAGAACUCGGGUGAAGGAACUAGGCAAAAUGGUGCCGUAACUUCGGGAGAAGGCACGCUGACACGUAGGUGAAGUGAUUUACUCA
rnacentral:rRNA from 1 species